UACUAGAGUAGCACUCGCAUAUCAAUAAGCGGAGGAAAAGAAACUAACAAGGAUUCCCCUAGUAACGGCGAGUGAAGCGGGAAGAGCUCAAAUUUGAAAUCUUAAAGGGUUUCCCUUUACGAAUUGUAGUUUAAAGAAGUGUUUUCUGUUGAGGUUUUGGUAAAAGUUCUUUGGAAUAGGACAUCAUAGAGGGUGAGAAUCCCGUAUUUGACCUUUACUUUCAACUUUGUGAUACACUCUCAAAGAGUCGGAUUGUUUGGGAAUGCAGUCCAAAAUGGGUGGUAAAUUUCAUCUAAAGCUAAAUAUUGGCGAGAGACCGAUAGCGAACAAGUACCGUGAGGGAAAGAUGAAAAGAACUUUGAAAAGAGAGUUAAACAGUACGUGAAAUUGUCAAAAGGGAAGCGUUUGACACCAGUGUUGUUUUUCUGAAAAUCAAUUAAAGAACUGUUUAUGCUAAGCUGUUUAGACUUUAUCAGCUAUCUGUUUAGUUUUGAGCUUUUCUUUAAUGCACUUUUCAGUUAACAAGUCAACAUCAAUUUCUUUUGCUGUAAAAAAGCUAGAGGAAGGUGGCUUGAGAUUCGUCUUAAGUGUUUAUAGCCUCUUGCCUAUGCAGUCGGAGAGAUUGAGGUCUGCAGCGUAGAUCCUUCGGGGCUAAAUGCAUUUGUGCUAAGUUAUAGCAUUUUAUAGACAACUUGUUGACUAUGAUUUGUCUUGUAGCUUACUCGCUUAUGUUAUUUUACCUACGCUUAGGAUGUUGAGCGCAUGUCUCUCUCU
rnacentral:rRNA from 1 species